rnacentral:rRNA from 1 species
AGAGUUUGAUCCUGGCUCAGAUUGAACGCUGGCGGUAUGCUUAACACAUGCAAGUCGAACGGUAACAGGCAGAAGCUUGCUUUUGCGCUGACGAGUGGCGGACGGGGGAGUAACGCGUAGGUAUCUGCCUAGUAGUGGGGGACAACUUGGGGAAACCCAAGCUAAUACCGCAUACGCCCUUCGGGGGAAAGUGGGGGAUCUUCGGACCUCACGCUAUUAGAUGAGCCUGCGUUGGAUUAGCUAGUUGGUGAGGUAAUGGCUCACCAAGGCGACGAUCCAUAGCUGGUCUGAGAGGACGAUCAGCCACACUGGGACUGAGACACGGCCCAGACUCCUACGGGAGGCAGCAGUGGGGAAUAUUGGACAAUGGGCGAAAGCCUGAUCCAGCAAUGCCGCGUGUGUGAAGAAGGCCUGAGGGUUGUAAAGCACUUUCAGUAGGGAAGAAAGGUCAAGCGUUAAUAGCGCUAGGCUGUGACGUUACCUACAGAAGAAGCACCGGCUAACUCCGUGCCAGCAGCCGCGGUAAUACGGAGGGUGCGAGCGUUAAUCGGAAUUACUGGGCGUAAACCGCCCGUAGGCGGUUUUGUAAGUCGAAUGUGAAAGCCCUGGGCUUAACCUGGGAACUGCAUUUAAAACUGACUAACUAGAGUAUGGUAGAGGAGAGUUGAAUUUCAGGUGUAGCGGUGAAAUGCGUAGAUAUCUGAAGGAACACCAGUGGCGAAGGCGGCUCUCUGGACCAAUACUGACGCUGAGGUGCGAAAGCGUGGGUAGCAAACGGGAUUAGAUACCCCCGGAGUCCACGCCGUAAACGAUGUCAACUAACUGUGUUGGGCGGGUUUCCGCUUAGUGGUGCAGCUAACGCAAUAAGUUGACCGCCUGGGGAGUACGGCCGCAAGGCUAAAACUCAAAUGAAUUGACGGGGGCCCGCACAAGCGGUGGAGCAUGUGGUUUAAUUCGAUGCAACGCGAAGAACCUUACCUACCCUUGACAUACAGAGAACUUUCUAGAGAUAGAUUGGUGCCUUCGGGAACUCUGAUACAGGUGCUGCAUGGCUGUCGUCAGCUCGUGUCGUGAGAUGUUGGGUUAAGUCCCGUAACGAGCGCAACCCUUAUCCUUAGUUGCUACCAUUUGUAGUUGGGCACUCUAAGGAGACUGCCGGUGAUAAACCGGAGGAAGGUGGGGACGACGUCAAGUCAUCAUGGCCCUUAUGGGUAGGGCUACACACGUGCUACAAUGGCCGGUACAGAGGGCUGCAAACUUGCGAGAGUAAGCUAAUCCCUUAAAGCCGGUCCUAGUCCGGAUUGGAGUCUGCAACUCGACUCCAUGAAGCUGGAAUCGCUAGUAAUCGCGGAUCAGAAUGCCGCGGUGAAUUCGUUCCCGGGCCUUGUACACACCGCCCGUCACACCAUGGGAGUGGGUUGCAAAAGAAGUAGGUAGGCUAACGAACGGGAGGCCGCUUACCACUUUGUGAUUCAUGACUGGGGUGAAGUCGUAACAAGGUAACC